ensembl:misc_RNA 7SK 7SK RNA
GGGUGUGAGAUGAUCUGGCUGCAACAUCUGUCACCCCAUUGAUUGCCAAGCUGGCUUCAUUAGUUCUGGCUGGCUAGGCUAGGGUCUCCUUCCUCCCUUACCUUCCUACAUUCAUCUCUUCUUGAGCUGCAUGCUGCCAAGCCAUCCUUCUCUAACAAUGUGGACCAUUCUUCAGAGAAAAGUAUACUUAUUAUCAGAAAACUACCCCAUUUGAUUCAAGAACUCCUUAGUGUAAACUCUUAGUU